ACGGGAGGCAGCAGUGGGGAAUAUUGGGCAAUGGGCGCAAGCCUGACCCAGCAACGCCGCGUGAGGGAAGAAGGUUUUCGGAUUGUAAACCUCUGUCCUCAAUGAAAAUAGUGAUGGUAAUUGAGGAGGAAGCUCCGGCUAACUACGUGCCAGCAGCCGCGGUAAUACGUAGGGAGCGAGCGUUGUCCGGAAUGAUUGGGCGUAAAGGGCGCGUAGGCGGCCUGUUAAGUCUGGAGUGAAAGUCCUGCUUUUAAGGUGGGAAUUGCUUUGGAAACUGAGAGGCUUGAGUGCAGGAGAGGUUAUCGGAAUUCCCGGUGUAGCGGUGAAAUGCGUAGAGAUCGGGAAGAACACCAGUGGCGAAGGCGGGUAACUGGACUGCAACUGACGCUGAGGCGCGAAAGUGUGGGGAGCAAACAGGAUUAGAUACCCUGGUA
rnacentral:rRNA from 1 species